GACGAACGCUGGCGGCGUGCUUAACACAUGCAAGUCCGGGGGCGGGGUAACCCGUCCCCGGCGAACGGGUGCGGAACACGUGAGCGACCUGCCCUGGUGUGGGGGAUAGCCGGCCCAACGGCCGGGUAAUACCGCAUACGGCGCCCGCUUGGAAGCGGGAGGCGAAACUCGCAAGAGGCGCUAGGAGGGGCUCGCGGCCUAUCAGCUAGUUGGUGCGGUAACGGCGCACCAAGGCGAGGACGGGUAGCUGGUCUGAGAGGAUGGCCAGCCACAUUGGGACUGAGAGACGGCCCAGGCUCAUACGGGCAGCAGCAGUGGGGAGAAUUGCGCAAUGGGCGAGAGCCUGGCGCAGCGCCGCAGCGUGGAGGAUGAGGUCCUUCGGGGUGUAAAUUCCUGUGGCCCGGGACGAAUGCCCGGCAUCGGCGGGGUUGACGGUACCGGGUAAGGAAGCACCGGCUAACUCGGUG
rnacentral:rRNA from 1 species